GGGUAUAGCUCAGUUGGUAGAGCGGCGGUCUCCAAAACCGCAGGUCGCGGGUUCGAAUCCUGCUGCCC
rnacentral:tRNA from 1 species